GGUUGGGCACGAGGUUGGGCUAAAUCUGCCUUGCAACUUAUCUUUCAUUGGUCGGAUGGAAAUUAACAUACCGUGGGUCAGGGAAUGCACUUUUACACCUGUUGGAAAACUCUAAGGAGCUGGCUGCACUUUUGCUGCUGCGCUACAAGGCAAUAUAAUGGCUGAGAGAGACGUAAAUGUGAACGACACAUCUGUUGAUGUCACGCCAAAUUUGCCACGAGACGCAUUUGAUGGGGAUACAACUGCCAGCUCACCCGAAGAGAGUGAAGCUGAUGGUGAUGAAGAAGAGAUCCCCCAAACCCAGCAGGCCUCAACUGGCAAGGCUUAAAGCUGCAGCAGUGAUGCCAGGAGAGUUCGACCUUCAAUUUUAUUUAUCUUAAUUUAGUUAAAUUAUUUUUAUAUAUAUAUAUAUAAUUUGUUGUAAUUUUGUUCAUUGCAACUUAAA